GAUGAAGAACGUAGCGAAAUGCGAUAAGUAAUGUGAAUUGCAGAAUUCAGUGAAUCAUCGAAUCUUUGAACGCACAUUGCGCCCCUUGGUAUUCCGAGGGGCAUGCCUGUUCGAGCGUCAUUAUAACCCCUCAAGCUCAGCUUGGUGUUGGGGCCUGCUGCACUGGCAGCCCUUAAAAUCAGUGGCGGCGCCAUCUGGCUCUAAGCGUAGUAAUUCUUCUCGCUAUGGAGUCCUGGUGGAUGCUUGCCAUCAACCCCCAAAUUUUCUAUGGUUGACCUCGGAUCAGGUAGGGAUACCCGCUGAACUUAAGCAUAUCAAUAAGCGGAGGA
rnacentral:misc_RNA from 1 species